UACGUAGGGGGCAAGCGUUGUCCGGAAUCAUUGGGCGUAAAGAGCGCGUAGGCGGCCCAGUAAGUCCGCUCUGAAAGUCAGGGGCUCAACCCCUGGAUGCGGGUGGAUACUGCUGGGCUAGAGUCCGGAAGAGGUGAGUGGAAUUCCUGGUGUAGCGGUGAAAUGCGCAGAUAUCAGGAGGAACACCAGUGGCGAAGGCGGUGCUCUGGGCCGGAACUGACGCUGAGGAGCGAAAGCGUGGGGAGCAAACAGG
rnacentral:rRNA from 1 species